AGGGAGCUCUCCUUAAGUAUUACCCUCAACGUGCAUUUCUGACUUUGAGGUUACGCUGUAUCUGAAGUGAUCUGUAUCCCCCGAUAGGUAUGAUAGAGGAUAGAAAGUAUGAGAUCCCAAGCCGUAUCGAGUGCGACGGUUAUCGAGGUACGUUGAAAUACGUCGGACCCGUUGGGACCAUCAAGGGAGAGUGGUUAGGCGUAGACUGGGACGAUUCGACUCGUGGCAAACAAUGGCACGUAUGAAGGUGUAGAGUAUUUUCAAGCCAGACAUUCCACAUCAGGUUUUUUUAUACAACCGGGCAAAACCAAGUUUGGGAUAUCUUGCCUGCAAGCCAUCAAAAUGCGCUAUGGGCUAAUCGACGAUGAAUUAGCGGGCAUAUAUAGAGACGAAGUGUCGAGCUUAAGGAAAGAAAUCAAUGCACCGUUUUUAGAAUUUGUCGGCUUCUUCAAAGUGAAUAAGAAACAGAGCAAGUUUGACAAGCUAAAGAUAGUAUGGCUGAGGGAGCAAUGUGUAUCCAAUGCGGGAGAGCCACGGGAAUUGGAAGAACUGUGUUCUAAUUUGGAAGAAUUGGAUUUAUCUAGAAAUUUAAUAAACUCGUGGAAAAUCGUAGCAGAUAUAUGUUUCCAGCUUCAUUUCCUGAUGCGUCUUAACGUCAGUGAGAACCAUUUGCCUAUAGAAGAUGUGGCAGCAUUAAAAGAUUCGUUUCCAACAAUUAAGCAUUUAACUAUAGCUAAAAUGAAUUACAACUGGUCUGAUAUUCGGCUAUGAAUAUCCAUGUUUUCGUCGAUCAAAGAACUCUUAGUCUCUUUUAAUAUUGUCACAACCAUAGAAGACAUAACGCUUAGAAUAUCUUAAUUUGAAUUUAAUUAAAAUAGAUAGAAUUAGAUUUCUAUCUUCAACAUCAACAGAUAAGACUGCUUUGUUUCCAAUGCUAUGUCAUCUACAUACAUAUUUCAGAAAGCUACAUAUCAGAGUGGCAAUCGAUUAGCGAAUUAGAUAAAUUAUCAAAUCUAGAAAACUUGAAAUUCAAAGAAGAUCC